rnacentral:rRNA from 1 species
AUUGAACGCUGGCGGCAUGCCUUACACAUGCAAGUCGAACGGUAACGGGCCUUCGGGUGCCGACGAGUGGCGAACGGGUGAGUAAUACAUCGGAACGUGCCCGAUCGUGGGGGAUAACGAGGCGAAAGCUUUGCUAAUACCGCAUACGAUCUACGGAUGAAAGCAGGGGACCGCAAGGCCUUGCGCGGACGGAGCGGCCGAUGGCAGAUUAGGUAGUUGGUGGGAUAAAAGCUUACCAAGCCGACGAUCUGUAGCUGGUCUGAGAGGAUGAUCAGCCACACUGGGACUGAGACACGGCCCAGACUCCUACGGGAGGCAGCAGUGGGGGAUUUUGGACAAUGGGCGCAAGCCUGAUCCAGCCAUGCCGCGUGCAGGAUGAAGGCCUUCGGGUUGUAAACUGCUUUUGUACGGAACGAAAAGCCUUCUUUUAAUACAGGAGGGUCAUGACGGUACCGGAAGAAUAAGCACCGGCUAACUACGUG